rnacentral:rRNA from 1 species
GUGAAAGACCGAUAGCGAACAAGUACCGUGAGGGAAAGAUGAAAAGAACUUUGAAAAGAGAGUUAAAGAGUACCUGAAACUGUUGAAAGGGAACCGUAUCGUUUCCAGUGUUGUAUCCUGUGCAUAUUUCAUCAAUGGAGAAAUUUGUUGGUGCCCUGUGCAUAGGUGUGACGUCAGAGUCAGUUUGUAUGCUGCGGGAGAUGGUUAGUAAGGAGGUGCGUCACUUCGGUGAAAGNUUAUACCUUGCUAUCUAGUAGCCGUGGUUGAGACUGAGGUGCCUAC